rnacentral:rRNA from 3 species
UCACAAACGACUCUCGGCAACGGAUAUCUCGGCUCACGCAUCGAUGAAGAACGUAGCAAAUGCGAUACUUGGUGUGAAUUGCAGAAUCCCGUGAACCAUCGAGUUUUUGAACGCAAGUUGCGCCCGAAGCCUUUUGGCCGAGGGCACGUCUGCCUGGGCGUCACGC